AUAUAGAACAGUAUAUAUAGCGCGUUGAGCCUCUCACUCAAAGGUCGUGGGUUCGAAUCCCACUUGGGAUG